UUCCUCCUAAAAGCAUUUCUCACGAUUGAAACCAUUUUGAUGGAAACAAAGCCAUUCCUUGGAAUUCUCGGCUAAGCCCCAUUUGGAGAAGUCCAAUAAACAUAUAUGGUAAGAGACCAUUAAUUGUUGUCUAGUACGGGAGUUUUAGAGUUCAGCAAACACAAGUCAUCAAUUAGAGGAGCCUCACAUAUAUAGCACUACAUGUUCAUUACAAGGUUCAUUUAUUUCAAGUUAAGCAAAGAAGAAAAAUUUCUUUUGGAAAAACAAAUAUAAGGCUCUCGGCCAAGGUGGGUUCUAGUCGAGCAAUGGAGGAGUGAUGGGGAGAAAUUAUGCCUCAAAGUGUUGAAUUUAUUCAAGAGAUUAGCAAGGUUAAGGAGCCAAGUUGAUUAAGGCGAAAAGAGCGACGAGGCGAAAAGGAUUCACGAAUAGUCGCCAACAGGUGUAGACGCACAGUUUGGUGAUCCACCAGUUUAGGAUACCCUCUUCUGCUGUUUGGAGUGCUCCUCUUAUUCCGGAGCCUACAUUUUGGUAUAUAUUCGGUCUUUGCAUAUGUAUAUAUUUGUUCAGGGGUACGGCGGGGCCCUGUCCCGCCAUAUGAUACGGUUGGUCUGUUUAGAGGUCUGUAGACGUACAUGUGGGUUGUGCCUACUUCUGUUCAGAUGUGUUUGUAUGAUCCUACUCGUUAUGGCAGCCUUGUCGGCGUGCAUUUUGUAUAUGUUUUGGGGCCGUUGUGCCAUUUGAUAGCCUUGUCGGCUUUUGAUAUAUGUAUACGCAUCUGGUUGUGCUGAAAUUUGGGCGAUGUAUAUUCCGCCAACUCUUUUGGUUUUGAUAUGAUAUUUUGUACGUGAAAUCGCGUAAGAUAAUAUUUGUUUCUAACUCUGUUUAAAAUGAUGAAUAUGAAGUUUGAGUUAAGCGAUAAAAUGACGAUUUGGUUUGUAUGUCUGUUUGGGUGUCCAAGUAGGGCACCAGUCGCGGCCCACGGGGCUGGGUC